UCCGUUGUAGUCUAGUUGGUCAGGAUAUUCGGCUCUCACCCGAAAGACCCGGGUUCGAGUCCCGGCAACGGAA
rnacentral:tRNA from 2 species